AGCAGCCGCGGUAAUUCCAGCUCCAAUAGCGUAUAUUAAAGUUGUUGCAGUUAAAAAGCUCGUAGUUGAAUUUCGAGAUCAAUACGUCGGUCGUGCCUUCGGUACGUACUGUCGUCAUUGGUUUCUCCCUUCUGACGAACCAUGAUGUCAUUAAUUUGGUGUUAUGGGGAGUUAGGACUGUUACUUUGAAAAAAUUAGAGUGUUUAAAGCAGGCAUUAGCUUGAAUACAUUAGCAUGGAAUAAUGAAAUAGGACGUUCGAUCCUAUUUUGUUGGUUUCUAGGAUCAACGUAAUGAUUAAUAGGGAUAGUUGGGGGCAUUAGUAUUCAAUUGUCAGAGGUGAAAUUCUUGGAUUUAUUGAAGACUAACUACUGCGAAAGCAUUUGCCAAGGAUGUUUC
rnacentral:rRNA from 1 species